CGCUUUCCUAUUUCUCCCUUCUGCUGCCAUAUUCUUUUUCUACGUUACUGCCCCAGGGACUGCCUCACCUGAACAAUAUAAAAGUCUAUCUAUAUUAGCAGUAUCAAAUAAAAUACAAUUAACAUUCAAUACAUAGUAUAAUAUUUAUAGAAUUGAUUAUGUAAUAUCAUAUACUGAACCAUCUUUCAUCAAUAUUUCAAGAGGUUCACCCAAUAAAGAUGGAUGGUGCACAAAGUGUAUCGACUUAGUAUCAAACAAAAUACCACAAACAUUCAAUAAUAUUUAGAGAAUAAUUAUAUGUAACAUCAUUUGGCAUGAUAGAUGGUUCACCCUAUAAGAAAUGUUUAUGUCCCUGAAAGUUUACUGAGAGACCUAUCCAAAAACUAAUAGGCCACCGCUUCUUUCAUCAGUUUAAUUUUAACACAACUAUUUUAUUUUUUUGUUAAAAGGUAAAGAAACAACAUAUAAUGAUUGAAUGUGCAUCAUUUACGAAAAACUAUACCACAAACAGCCAAAUAGGUCGAUUGGUUCACAUAGGUAUCCAACCAACAGAGAAAGUAUGGAAGAAAAUCAAAUACUGAAGACUGUAAGAGCUGAAAUUAAUAAGUAAACAUAUUAUAAUUUAUGUAGUUCCUGAAUGACAUACCAUUGCUAUAAAUUUGGUGUAAAAAAAGACUGUAAUACUUCUUCAGGCUAUCAUGGUGCACUUCCAGAUCAGAAAAUUUCAUCUACAUAUCUUUAGACAGCAGGUUUUAGAAAUGGUCCAAGCGCCAAAGUUCUUUAAAUGAGCGUUAAUAUUCUCCAGUGAUUGGUGCUUUCCUACUAAUGAGGCAGUCCCUUGACUCUUCGCUUCACCUUUUAGAAUGCUCAACGAAGGAGGCAUUAAAUAUUCUAUAAAAUCAUUGGGGCAAAGUAGGCGAAAAGAGGUCAUUACAAAUUUUCUUUAGAAUUCGCAAAAUAAUAAACAAAAACAUAUUUAAUGUUCCAUCUCUAAUAAAUGGUUUAAUACAAAAAUAAAUUGCAUCAAUUCUCGAAUAUAGAACCAAUGUAACAGAGAAAAUGGGCAAAAUAUAACCAACAAUGACAAGCCCUACAAAGAAUUACAUUAAGUAAAAGACAGUGUUUGAAGGAAUUAGUAAUACAAUAAUUCUAGAUUAAUUAAUACAAAUCUUUAUAUUACUAUACUUGAAUACUUGAAUUUAUACUAACAUUAAUUUGUAGUAAUAUUAUUUUUUAAUGUUAGAGUUGAAAGAAUUAGUAAGUGGAAGAAACAACUCCAGAUUUAAAACUUAAUCACACCAAAAACAGAGAACGUAUAACGAAUUAGCAACACACAAAAAAAUCAAAGUAACUAAUACUAAUUUAUAUUAUAGAAGCUAUUGAGCUUUGUGGCUGCGUCGUCGACAAAGCAAACAUACCUUCAUAAACAAAUAUCAAACAUAGCAGCAUCAGUUAGUAGGAGAGAAAUAAUAUGCUUAUAAUAUACCAAAUCAUCUAUGAUAACAUGGUUCAGUGAACUUACAAUGAAAACGACUGAAUAGCUUAUAUCAAGAAUUUCCGCUUGAUGUGCACAAAGGAGAAAGAUUUAGUGAUUGUUAAAGUAGAACUUGAUUUCAAAAGGCAUUGAAAUCAUGUUACUAAGAAUACCCUAGAAGAAUUGGUGGGUUAGGAGUUAGAAAUCGUGGCGUGGGAUCGUGGGAUCGUGGGAUUGAAGCGCCAUCGUGGGAAUGGAAGUCGAAAUUGUAGGAAUUGAUAUAUUUUAGGUCAAAGGCGUAGAGGAGUUAUGUGGGUUUCAGAAUUUUAAUUUGAAAAUUAUUAUUUUCUUAAAAAAACAUAGAUAUUUUAUUAUUUUGAAAUUCAAAUUUUAAAAAUAAACUAAUUUUACCUAACAACUAAAUAUUUUCUUAAAAUUGCCACAUGGCAUUUUUGUAAUGUGAUACUUGGCAAAUUCUCAUGGCUGACUUCCUUCCUAUUAAUAAUAGAUAGAUAUAGAUUUAUCUAGUAAAACUUUAAUUUUAUGGUCAUAUCCAUAGUUUAAGCAUUUUUAUCAUAAUUUUAAUCUAAUCUCAAGUUGAAAUCAUCUUUCCGUUCUAUUUCUAAUAUUAAAUAUUUUUAAAUUUUUGAUUAUUGCUAUUAAGUUGCCUAAUAUAUAAUAUUUCAUAUUUUCAUGUGGCCUUUAUUAACUUUCGUCUUAUUUAAUAUCAUUAUCCAGUUAUAUCCCUUAAUAUAAUAUAGAUCAAUGUGUGAUUUUUUAAUCUUGAUAUAAAUAUUUACAUUAUUUUAAUUUAAUACUCGAAAUUAUUAAACUGUUUAAAUUUAUUAAUAAUAUUUUUAAGUAUUAUAUAGUAAAAUUUUCAAUAUUUUAAUUUUAUUAUUUAAUUAAUUAAUUAAGAAAUAAGUUAUAUGUGGCUUUUUCUGGUUUUGCCAUAUGGCUGAAUUAGCUAUUAGUUAAUAAUUAAUUAAUUAAUAACAUUACAUAUGACUAAUUCUAAAGUUGCUACUUGGCUUAAGGAGAAGAAUUAUUCCUCUNNNNNNNNNNNNNNNNNNNNNNNNNUUUUAAUUUAGUUGUAUUGACAGGAGUAGAACAAAGUUAAAGUAAAUAAAUUCCGAAUUUGAAAAAGGAAGUUAAUUAACUUGAGUCCCAAGUGUAACCAAAAUGAAAAGAAAGAAAAAAGCUUCCCGCCAAAAGAAACACGUCUGUUCUUCCCUAAUACCCAGUUUUGUACCAACAAAUAAUACUUUCCUUAUUUUCCUAAAAUAUUAGUCCUCCGCGUGCAAUUUUUUAAGAAACCUAAUAAGUUCUUUAUAAAGAACCUGAACAUUAGCUAUCGGCUAUCGCCAUUGUAUUUGUUCAGGUUCUUCCUAAUUUCAUAGGAGUAAUUCUUUCUUCUCUAUCUGUUUUCAUUGCGAAUUUAAAUUUUUCUUUCACAAUACUCCAAUUCUUAGUUCUCUUUGUAUUUUCACAGAAGAGUCAAGAACAAUUGCAGAUUAUCGAUCAUUGAAGGGUUGUUUUUUUCUUGCGAUUCUUGUUAUAAUUUCUUUAUUCAUAAUAGCAAAUCAAAGACCAGCAUGCCGAUAGUAUCACGGCUUCCUAGUGUUCGAUUUUACCCAACUGAUGCGGAGUUGAUCUACUUUCUGAGAAAGUUCUUAAAGGGUAACUCUUUUCCCAGUGAAUGCCCUAUUCGACUUGCAGAAAUCUAUGGAGACCGGCCACCCUGGGAGAUUUCUGAUCAUCCCGAAGAGAAAAUUGGUUACUUUAUUUCUCCUUUGAAGAAGCGGAAGGAAUCAGACAAAAGGUUUCGCCGAACUUGCGCCAACGGGACAUGGAAAGGCCAAACCAGUGGCGAUCCUAUCAAGAAUGGUAAGGGCACUGUGGUGGGAUUCAGAAAAAAUUUUGUUUAUCGAACUAGGGGUAGUAAACAAUCAAAGCAAGAUAAGAUUAAUUGGCUGAUGAGAGAAUAUUACGUGGGGGAUGAUUACUUCAGGGAAAACAAUAUUCCUAAGCAAGAUAUUGUUCUUUGCCGAAUCAAGAAGAAUAUUAUAACAGAGAGAAAUAUGAAGAAUGGGGUAACUAUAGAGGAACAAGAAGUUGCUCAAGUAAUAGCAGCUAUGUUGUGUGAACCUGACUACAACAGUACACAGUCAGCAACAAUUUGCCAACAACAUCAGGAUAAUUAUUUGAGAGGACUUAACAAAAAUAGCCAAAUUUUGACCACUUAUGAUACAGAUGAAGCUACAUUGGAGAAUCAUGGAGCCAUCACCAACAGAGAGUACAUGAUGACAGAAGAAGCAAAUACAACAGCCUGCGGGCAAGAAGAAGCAUAUGAUCAAUUAUCCUUCCCUGGAAUUCAGGAGCAAUAUUAUGCUGAAGCUGAUCUUAACGCAGAUAACAGUGACUUCUCAGAUCUUAACAUAGAUAACAGUGACUACUUGGAAGAACUAAUGAAUGGAAUAGACGACAUUGUUCCACAUGAUUGGUGGCACCAAUUCUACUAGAUAGACAUGAAAAGAGUUAACAUCUGAUGUUUGUUAGAAUUUUUUUGCCCAACUCAAUAUUAUGUAAACAAGAUGCAUCAUACUGCGAUUAUUCUUUUUUCUUUCUGGGUAGCCGAAAUUAUUCUUUAAUGUGAUUUCUUGUUUAUAUAUUUUUUUUAAAAUGAGUCCAGAAACUCUUUGGUAUAUAUCAUUAGUGCAUGUUUUAUGGCAAACGCAAAACUCAUUAAAAUGAAUAACACACCUUUGAAUCAUCUUUUUUCUCUCGUAAAUUUCCUAUAAAAGACUACACUCAUCAAUCAAUUUGAGCUAAUUAAGAAACAAGAUAUACUGGAAGGAAAAGGAUGCUAAGAGGAUACCAUAUGCAAUAUAACACUGUCUAAUUAAGAACUCAAAAGGAAAAACAGAGAGAGCCAGAGAUCUGUGGGCAAGAAAAACUUAUUUGCCUUCAGGAUGGCAAGAUGCUGGAUUAAAUCAGUCAGUCAUACAAUAUUCUGAUUUAGAUGUAGGCUCAUCAGCAAAGAAACAUUCAGUUUUUCGCGAUACGUUUUUUAAUUACUCCAUCAUUAGUAAUUCAAUGUUAUAAUGCUGACCAUUCAAAAUUUAACGUAAAAAAUUACUGAAAAUAUGCCCUUGCACAAAAUAAAUAAUGCAACAAAGGUAGCUGUUGUCACUACACAUCAAUCCAAUAUAUACAUUAACUUUUCAUCAGAUUGGCGCCAAGCACUGUGUACCCAUUCACAAGACUCAAAAGUUGUGAUUUCCCAAAAAGCUCCUUUUUAAGGGGCGAGAUACCUGAGGAAGUGGUUUUUUUCCUUCGACCCCACGAUCUGUAGCCACAUUACCAAUAUCGCCAAGCGCUUUCCUAUUUCUCCCUUCUGCUGCCAUAUUCUUUUUCUGCGUUACUUCCCCAGGGACUGCCUCACCUGAACAAUAUAAAAGUCUAUCUAUAUUAGCAGUAUCAAACAAAAUACCAUUAACAUUCAAUACAUAGUAUAAUAUUUAUAGAAUUGAUUAUGUAAUAUCAUAUACUGAACCAUCUUUCAUCAACAUUUCAAGAGGUUCACCCAAUAAAGAUGGAUGGUGCACAAAGUGUAUCUACUUAGUAUCAAACAAAAUACCACAAACAUUCAAGAAUAUUUAGAGAAUGAUUAUAUGUAACAUCAUUUGGCAUGAUAGAUGGUUCACCCUAUAAGAAAUGUUUAUGUCCCUGAAAGUUUACUGAGAGACCUAUCCAUAAACCAAUAGGCCACAGCUUCUUUCAUCAGCUUAAUUUUAACACAACCAUUCUAUUUUUUUGUUAAAAGGUAAAGAAACAACAUAUAAUAAUUGAAUGUGCAUCAUUUACUGAAAAACUAUAUCACAAACAGCCAAAUAGGUCGAUUGGUUCACAUAGGUAUCCAACCUACAGAGAAAGUAUGGAAGGAAAUCAAAUACUGAAGACUAUAAGAGCUGAAAUUAAUAAGUAAACAUAUUAUAAUUAUGUAGUUCCUGAAUGACUUACCAUUGCUAUAAAUUGGGUGUAAAAAAAGACUGUAAUACUUCUUCAGGCUAUCAUGGUGCACUUCCAAAUCAGGGAAUUUCAUCUACAUACCUUUAGACAACAGGUUUUAGAAAGGGUCCAAGUGCCAAAGUUCUUUAAAUGAGCAUUAAUUCUCCAGUGAUUGGUGCUUUCCCGCUAAUGAGGCAGUCCCCUGACUCUUCGCUUCACCUUUUAGAAUGCUCAGCGAAGGAGGCAUUAAAUGUUCUAUAAAAUCAUUGGGGCAAAGUAGGCGAAAAGAGGGCAUUACAAAUUUUCUUUAGAAUUCGCAAAAUAAUAAACAAAAACAUGCUUAUAAUGUUCCAUCUCUAAUAAAUGGUUUAAUACAAAAAUAAAUUGCAUCAAUUCUCGAAUAUAGAACCAAUGUAACAGAGAAAAGGGGCAAAAUAUAACCAACAAUGGCAAGCCCUACAAAGAAUUAUAUUAAGUAAAAGAAAGUGUUUGAAGGAACUAGUAAUACAAUAAUUCUAGAUUAACUAAUACAAAUCUUUAUAUUACUAUACUUGAAUACUUGAAUUCAUACUAACAUUAAUUUAUAGUAAUAUUACUUUUUAAUGGUAGAGUUGAAAGAAUUAGUAAGUGAAAGAAACAACUCCAGAUUUAAAACUUAAUCACAUAAAAAACAGAGAAGGUAUAACGAAUUAGCAACACAAAAAAACCAAAGUAACUAAUACUAAUCUAUCUAUGAUAACAUGGUUCAGUGAACUUACAAUGAAAAAGACUGAAUAGCUUAUAUCAAGAAUUCCUGCGGAGAAAGAUUUAGUGAUUGUUAAAGUAGAACUUGAAUUCAAAAGACAUUGAAAUCAUGUUACUGAGAAUACCCCCAGAAGAAUUGAUGGGUUAGGAGUUAGAAAUCGCGGUGUGGGAUCGUGGGAAUGAAGCGCCAUCGUGGGAAUGUAAGCCGAAAUUGUUGGAAUUGAUAUAUUUUAGGUCAAAGGCGUAGAGGAGUUAC
rnacentral:lncRNA from 1 species